UUGGAGAAGAGUAAAAAAUUUGAAGAUCGAUUAAAAGAACUUAAGUCUGAAAUACAUGCUCUGAAACUUGAGGAAAAGCAAAAGGGGCCAAUCUAUCACUGGAAUGAAGUCUUUGGAUCACUAGACCUCACUGUAGGAAAGGUGCCAUCAUGGAUUAAGCCAUGUGAAAUACGAAGGGGACAGGAUACCAAUCUCCAAAGGCCCUUCGCCCCUUAUUCAAUGAAUACCUUGAAUAGCUGGUCGCGUGUCAGCAACAACUUCUGUAGGACAACGGGACAAAAGUGUUUUCUAACGAGCACCUCCGUUUCUAAUAACAUGGGGAUAGGAACUCACAGAAACAUCAUAAAGGUAAUUUAUUUUGCUUCUACCAAAACAACGCUCCUUUCUGAGGCUUAAUGAAAUUGUACAAUAGAG
rnacentral:lncRNA from 1 species